rnacentral:tRNA from 1 species
GUGGACUGUGGUUCAGUAAGUAGAGCCUCUGCUUGGCAUGCAGUAGGUCCUAGGUUCAGUCCCUGGCAUCUACA